GUGUUCUUUUCAGCAACACAUAUACUAAAAUUGGUAUAAUACAGAGAAGAUUAGCAUGGCCCCUGUACAAGGAUGACAGACAGAUUUGUGAAGCAUUCUAUUUUUUC